AGAGUUUGAUCCUGGCUCAGGAUGAACGCUAGCGGCGCGCUUAAUGCAUGCAAGUCGAGCGAUGAGGGCUCCUUCGGGGGUCACAUCAGCGGCAAACGGGUGAGUAACACGUAGGUAACCUACCCUUGAGGCGGGGAUAACGGCUGGAAACGGUCGCUAAUACCCGAUAGGCUCUGGGACCUGGGAUGGUUCGAGAGGAAAGCGCUCCUUCGGGAGAUAGCGCUUAAGGAGGGGCCUGCGGCCCAUCAGGUAGUUGGUGCGGUAACGGCGCACCAAGCCAAUGACGGGUAGGGGGUGUGAGGGCAUGACCCCCCACAAUGGGACUGCGACACGGCCCAUACUCCUACGGGAGGCAGCAGCAGGGAACAUUGCGCAAUGGACGAAAGUCAGACGCAGCGACGCCGCGUGGGCGAGGAAGGUCUUCGGAUUGUAAAGCCCUUUUCUGGGGGACGAGGAAGGACGGUACCCUAGGAAUAAGCGUCGGCUAACUACGUGCCAGCAGCCGCGGUAAGACGUAGGACGCGAGCGUUAUCCGGAUUUACUGGGCGUAAAGCGCCUGUAGGCGGUCGGGUAAGUCGGUUGUGAAAGCCCCGUGCUCAA
rnacentral:rRNA from 1 species